rnacentral:tRNA from 1 species
GGAGGGGUAGCGAAGUGGUUAAACGCGGCUGACUGUAACUCAGCUCCCUACGGGUUCGGGGGUUCAAAUCCCUCCCCCUCCACCA